GUCCACGCCCUAAACGAUGUCAACUAGGUGUUGGGGAAGGAGACUUCUUUAGUACCGCAGCUAACGCGUGAAGUUGACCGCCUGGGGAGUACGGUCGCAAGAUUAAAACUCAAAGGAAUUGACGGGGACCCGCACAAGCGGUGGAUUAUGUGGAUUAAUUCGAUGCAACGCGAAAAACCUUACCUACCCUUGACAUGCCAGGAAGUUUCCAGAGAUGGAUUCGUGCCCCGAAAGGGAACCUGGACACAGGUGCUGCAUGGCUGUCGU
rnacentral:rRNA from 1 species